rnacentral:lncRNA from 1 species
AGCGGCAGCGCGGGCGGGACGGCAGGGGGCGCUGCUCGGCCGGGCUGCGGCGGGGCCGGAGCGGGGCUCGGGGCGGAGGGGGGGGGGGGGGGGGGGGGCGGGGGGGGGGGGGGGGGGGGGGGGGGGGGGGGGGAAUCGGCCGGGGCCGGUCUGUGAGGGGAGCUCGCGGAAAGUGACAAGCGAGGGUCUGAGGGGCGGCAGAGGCGGCGGCCGCCCGCGUUCGCUUCCCCGCCCGCCAAGAGAGAGCGCAGCCCCGAGGGCGUCGGCGGUGCGGGAGGGAGACGCGGCCCCGCGGCGGUUACGCGGACCGGCCCGGGACGCCGGCGCUGCGCUGUGGAUGUGGGAGUAAGCGCGGCGCCGGUUCAGGAAUGCAGCAGCCGGGCGGCGGGGACGGGGGGAGCCUCUUGCUUCUCCCGCUGCUCCUGCUGCUGCGUGCGGGUAGCCGGGCGGAGCUGGGGGACGCCACGCAAGGAGCAAAUACAUCAGUUGUUGCUGAUUUCAUGCCUACAUCAUCAUGGAACAUCUCAAGUGAAUUAGAUAAAGGAAAUGAAUUUAAAAGAGAUGCAGCCACCCGUGAAGAGCUGUUGAAAGCAACGAUUGAUGGGAGGGAGGAGGUGGUUUCUCACCAAAACCUUAAAAAAACAAACAAACUGUGCAUAAAAAAUAAAAAAUAAUCACUUUUAAAACAGGGGAAAUUUAGCUAUGAGCAUUUCUCUCCCUUUUCCGACUGGUAAAUCACGGCAUGCAG